GCUUGUCGGGUAUGGAGCUCAAUGGCUUGUUGUGAGGCAGUCGAUCUCACCGCUUCCUUAUUGGCAGGGAAGUGAUCAUUUUUCUUGGAUUUGUUGAUUGUGUUUACCUCAAUGCACCGAAUGAGCUUCUUCUUGACAAUGGACUGGGAGAUGUAAUAACCAUAAAAAAAAAACUGGACGGAUGCUGUUUUAUGGAAUCCACACAUACAGAUGGAAGCCUGCUACAAAAACAACCAUUGUAAUAGAUCUUUGUGGUGCUAGGAUGUAAACUUGCUUUGUAAAAACAACCAUUUGCUGAAAUGAAAGUAGAUGAAGGCUGGUGUUUCAUUUGUAAACUCCAUCCUGGUUAAUCAAAAAAAUGUAAAGUGUAAGUUCUACAUGUGUAAACAUGAUAUGCUUGCUCGAAAUCAAGCGUAAAAUUGGUGAGUCUGUUGCAUCUUUAGUACGCUUGCUUUUUGGUUGUGGCGAGCUAUUGGUCAUUUCCUGUUUGAUAGUGGUUUGAGCUUGGUAUUAACUUGAGGUUUUUUUU